GACGAACGCUGGCGGCGUGCUUAACACAUGCAAGUCGAACGGAAAGGCCCUGCUUUUGUGGGGUGCUCGAGUGGCGAACGGGUGAGUAACACGUGAGUAACCUGCCCUUGACUUUGGGAUAACUUCAGGAAACUGGGGCUAAUACCGGAUAGGAGCUCCUGCUGCAUGGUGGGGGUUGGAAAGUUUCGGCGGUUGGGGAUGGACUCGCGGCUUAUCAGCUUGUUGGUGGGGUAGUGGCUUACCAAGGCUUUGACGGGUAGCCGGCCUGAGCGGGUGACAGGCCACAUUGGGCCUGAGAUGCGGCCCAGCCUCCUACGGGAGGCAGCAGUGGGGAAUAUUGCACUAUGGGCGGAAGCCUGAUGCAGCAACGCCGCGUGCGGGAUGACGGCCUUCGGGUUGUAUACCGCUUUCGCCUGUGACGAAGCGUGAGUGACGGUAAUGGGUAAAGAAGCACCGGCUAACUACGUG
rnacentral:rRNA from 1 species